rnacentral:lncRNA from 1 species
AAGAAGAUGAACAGGGAAAACAUGAUAGAUGAACUCUCUGCGAUGAACGCAUCUGAUGCUCUUUAUCUUUAUUUUAACAGAAUGUUAGUCCAGUUUUUGGGAGUGUUGUGAAUGGAAUACGAGAAGAAAGACGUGUAUUUCAGUGCACUACUAUAUGAUAAAAUGGAUUCAACAGGAGAUCCGUUAUUAUAAAAUUAAGAAAUUUAUACCACUCCCCCCUUUCCAAAUAGAAUAGAAAGAACGCUAUAAAUAAAGAAACAUACUGUUAAAUUCUUUUUCUAAGUACCGUGUGUAUGCCUUAACAACUAGUUGAUCUUGUGUAAAGCACAGCCAUGUCCUCAUUGUUUAAUUGAUACCUGGUAAGAUAGGGAUUCUAGCCAUCUUAUGUUUUCCUUUACUAGGAUACAAUUCAGGAACCUGCCCCCUAACAGGCUGUCCUGCCUUCAGAAAGAGUAAUAACUCCAGAAAUUUAUUGGAAAUUUUUUUUUUCUUUCUUUUGAAUGGGAUCGUGUCACUUUUUACCAUUAUGAUCUGCAAUGGCAUUACUUUUUAUAGCUUUCUCAUGAUAUCCUUGUUCAAUUGAAAUGGACGCUUUGGAUUUUGGAGUAGCAUAAAAACUGACACUGACAUUUAUAUUGUAAUCGAAGAAAGUGGAAGAUAACUAAUUAGAUCUUAGUUUUUAAGAAGAUAACUAAUUAAAUCUUAGUUUUUAACUUACUAUUUGACCAUUUAGCACUCAAUAAAUGUUGUCGGCAGUCUUUGUAUACUGAACACUUGAAGGAGAGGGC